rnacentral:rRNA from 1 species
UACGUAGGGCGCAAGCGUUGUCCGGAAUUAUUGGGCGUAAAGAGCUCGUAGGUGGCUUGUCACGUCGGGUGUGAAAGCUUGGGGCUUAACUCCAGGUCUGCAUUCGAUACGGGCUGGCUAGAGGUAGGUAGGGGAGAACGGAAUUCCUGGUGUAGCGGUGAAAUGCGCAGAUAUCAGGAGGAACACCGGUGGCGAAGGCGGUUCUCUGGGCCUUACCUGACGCUGAGGCGCGAGAGCAAGGGGAGCAAACAGG